GGGCCCGCACAAGCGGUGGAGCAUGUGGUUUAAUUCGACGCAACGCGAAGAACCUUACCUACACUUGACAUCCUCGGAACUUUCUAGAGAUAGAUUGGUGCCUUCGGGAACCGAGUGACAGGUGCUGCAUGGCUGUCGUCAGCUCGUGUCGUGAGAUGUUGGGUUAAGUCCCGUAACGAGCGCAACCCUUAUCCUUAAUUGCCAGCGGUUAGGCCGGGAACUCUAAGGAGACUGCCGAUGACAAAUCGGAGGAAGGUGGGGGACGACGUCAAGUCAUCAUGGCCCUUACGUGUAGGGCUACACACGUGCUACAAUGGCCGGUACAAACGGUUGCGAACCCGCGAGGGGAAG
rnacentral:rRNA from 1 species